UAUAAAUAGGUACUUAUUGGAGAUUGCUAUAUAGAUGGCAAUACAAAACACUCACUCAAGUAUCUUCGGAGGCACUGUAGCAGUGGUGUAUUUAUUUAGGUGGGUAUAUGGGGAUAGAUCUCUUCCCUUGCUUUUUUUACUUUUUUAGUAAGACUAGGUAUAAACAGAACAGAUCCCACAUUAUGUAAUCUGUUAGAUACCAUAUUAAUCUACUUAUGUAUUUUAUAUUCAGAGCAGAGCAAGGAAUGUAUUGGUUUUAUAAUGUUUAUUAUUUUUCUGUGAACAAAUUUUAUACUAGCAAUAUUGCUCCGAUUUACAAUGAUAGCAACUUUUCUGAAAAGAAAUCUAACUGAGGUAGUACUUUAGGGAGGUCAUUAUUUUGA